rnacentral:lncRNA from 1 species
UCAGUGUGGACAACAGCUUACUUACCAUGUCCCCAUAGUGAGGAACGCUAGUGUUGAGAGCUGGCAGGCGGUUCCCGAGAGGGGCAUGAAGUCACCUGUGGGUGAGUCUGAGUCCUUCCUUCUCAUCCACUAUACAGGUGAAGUCUCAACUUGAAGAGAAAGCAAAUCAGAAGUUUGAUGUCUUUAAAGCCAUAUCCUUCAGGAGACAGGUAGUGGCCGGCACCAACUUCUUCAUCAAGGUUGAUGUCGGCGAAGAAAAAUGUGUGCACUUGAGGGUGUUUGAACCCCUCCCUCAUGAGAACAAGCCUUUGACCUUGUCUUCUUACCAGACCGACAAAGAAAAGCACGAUGAGCUAACCUACUUCUGAUUCUGCAGCCCCUUUGCCAAAUACUUCACCUUUGGAAUCCGUGUUUGGGACCACGAAGUAAAUACCCCUCUGUGAGCAGCUUCCUUUGUGAUGCCCAAACGGCGUUGUAUUUUGUUUCUUUCCAAACAAUUAUUUUCAGAAAACUGUAUAAAACUAUCUCUCUAAAUAUAUAUUUUUAGAGACCGU